rnacentral:rRNA from 1 species
AUUGAACGCUGGCGGCAGGCUUAACACAUGCAAGUCGAGCGAGCGGCGGACGGGUGAGUAAUGUCUGGGAAACUGCCUGAUGGAGGGGGAUCACUACUGGAAACGGUAGCUACUACCGCAUACCAUCAGAUGUGCCCAGUUGGGAUUAGCUAGUCGGGGGGGUAAUGGCGAACCUUGGCGACGAACCCUAGCUGGUCUGAGAGGAUGACCAGCCACACUGGAACUGGGACAAGGUCCAGAUUCCGACGGGAGGCAGCAGUGGGGAAUAUUGCACAAUGGGCGGAAGCCUGAUGCAGCCAUGCCGCGUGUGUGAAGAAGGCCUUCGGGUUGGAAAGCACUUUCAGCGAGGAGGCGUUACUCGCAGAAGAAGCACCGGCUAACUCCGUGCCAGCAGCCGCGGUAAUUC